UUUAUGGAGAGUUUGAUCCUGGCUCAGGAUGAACGCUGGCGGCGUGCCUAAUACAUGCAAGUCGAGCGAACGGACGAGAAGCUUGCUUCUCUGAUGUUAGCGGCGGACGGGUGAGUAACACGUGGAUAACCUACCUAUAAGACUGGGAUAACUUCGGGAAACCGGAGCUAAUACCGGAUAAUAUUUUGAACCGCAUGGUUCAAAAGUGAAAGACGGUCUUGCUGUCACUUAUAGAUGGAUCCGCGCUGCAUUAGCUAGUUGGUAAGGUAACGGCUUACCAAGGCAACGAUGCAUAGCCGACCUGAGAGGGUGAUCGGCCACACUGGAACUGAGACACGGUCCAGACUCCUACGGGAGGCAGCAGUAGGGAAUCUUCCGCAAUGGGCGAAAGCCUGACGGAGCAACGCCGCGUGAGUGAUGAAGGUCUUCGGAUCGUAAAACUCUGUUAUUAGGGAAGAACAUAUGUGUAAGUAACUGUGCACAUCUUGACGGUACCUAAUCAGAAAGCCACGGCUAACUACGUGCCAGCAGCCGCGGUAAUACGUAGGUGGCAAGCGUUAUCCGGAAUUAUUGGGCGUAAAGCGCGCGUAGGCGGUUUUUUAAGUCUGAUGUGAAAGCCCACGGCUCAACCGUGGAGGGUCAUUGGAAACUGGAAAACUUGAGUGCAGAAGAGGAAAGUGGAAUUCCAUGUGUAGCGGUGAAAUGCGCAGAGAUAUGGAGGAACACCAGUGGCGAAGGCGACUUUCUGGUCUGUAACUGACGCUGAUGUGCGAAAGCGUGGGGAUCAAACAGGAUUAGAUACCCUGGUAGUCCACGCCGUAAACGAUGAGUGCUAAGUGUUAGGGGGUUUCCGCCCCUUAGUGCUGCAGCUAACGCAUUAAGCACUCCGCCUGGGGAGUACGACCGCAAGGUUGAAACUCAAAGGAAUUGACGGGGACCCGCACAAGCGGUGGAGCAUGUGGUUUAAUUCGAAGCAACGCGAAGAACCUUACCAAAUCUUGACAUCCUUUGACAACUCUAGAGAUAGAGCCUUCCCCUUCGGGGGACAAAGUGACAGGUGGUGCAUGGUUGUCGUCAGCUCGUGUCGUGAGAUGUUGGGUUAAGUCCCGCAACGAGCGCAACCCUUAAGCUUAGUUGCCAUCAUUAAGUUGGGCACUCUAAGUUGACUGCCGGUGACAAACCGGAGGAAGGUGGGGAUGACGUCAAAUCAUCAUGCCCCUUAUGAUUUGGGCUACACACGUGCUACAAUGGACAAUACAAAGGGCAGCGAAACCGCGAGGUCAAGCAAAUCCCAUAAAGUUGUUCUCAGUUCGGAUUGUAGUCUGCAACUCGACUACAUGAAGCUGGAAUCGCUAGUAAUCGUAGAUCAGCAUGCUACGGUGAAUACGUUCUCGGGUCUUGUACACACCGCCCGUCACACCACGAGAGUUUGUAACACCCGAAGCCGGUGGAGUAACCUUUUAGGAGCUAGCCGUCGAAGGUGGGACAAAUGAUUGGGGUGAAGUCGUAACAAGGUAGCCGUAUCGGAAGGUGCGGCUGGAUCACCUCCUUUCU
rnacentral:rRNA from 1 species